AUUUAAGGUGUUGGGUCAGUAUUUAAGGUGUUGGGUACUUACUCAUGAUGGGUGCAGAGUGAUGAGCUACCAGGAAGUAGAGUUAGGUCAGUAUUUAAGGUGUUGGGUCAGUAUUUAAGGUGUUGGGUCAGUAUUUAAGGUGUUGGGUCGGUAUUUAAGGUGUU